UGCCUCAGUAACGGCGAGUGAAGCGGCAACAGCUCAAAUUUGAAAUCUGGCCCUAGGCCCGAGUUGUAAUUUGCAGAGGAUGCUUUUGGCAAGGUGCCUUCCGAGUUCCCUGGAACGGGACGCCAUAGAGGGUGAGAGCCCCGUCUGGUCGGACACCGAGCCUCUGUAAAGCUCCUUCGACGAGUCGAGUAGUUUGGGAAUGCUGCUCAAAAUGGGAGGUAUAUGUCUUCUAAAGCUAAAUACCGGCCAGAGACCGAUAGCGCACAAGUAGAGUGAUCGAAAGAUGAAAAGCACUUUGAAAAGAGAGUUAAAUAGCACGUGAAAUUGUUGAAAGGGAAGCGUUUAUGACCAGACUUGGCCCGGUUGAUCAUCCACCCUUCUGGGUGGUGCACUCUGCCGGUCCAGGCCAGCAUCAGUUCGCUCCGGGGGAUAAAGGUUUCGGGAAUGUAGCUCCUCCGGGAGUGUUAUAGCCCGUUGCGUAAUACCCUGGGGUGGACUGAGGUCCGCGCUCUGCA
rnacentral:rRNA from 1 species